rnacentral:rRNA from 1 species
GGGGAAUUUUGGACAAUGGGCGCAAGCCUGAUCCAGCCAUGCCGCGUGUCUGAAGAAGGCCUUCGGGUUGUAAAGGACUUUUGUCAGGGAAGAAAAGGCUGUUGCUAAUACCAGCGGCUGAUGACGGUACCUGAAGAAUAAGCACCGGCUAACCACGUGCCAGCAGCCGCGGUAAUACGUAGGGUGCGAGCGUUAAUCGGAAUUACUGGGCGUAAAGCGGGCGCAGACGGUUACUUAAGCAGGAUGUGAAAUCCCCGGGCUCAACCCGGGAACUGCGUUCUGAACUGGGUGACUCGAGUGUGUCAGAGGGAGGUAGAAUUCCACGUGUAGCAGUGAAAUGCGUAGAGAUGUGGAGGAAUACCGAUGGCGAAGGCAGCCUCCUGGGAUAACACUGACGUUCAUGCCCGAAAGCGUGGGUAGCAAACAGGAUUAGAUACCCUGGUAGUCCACGCCCUAAACGAUGUCAAUUAGCUGUUGGGCAACCUGAUUGCUUAGUAGCGUAGCUAACGCGUGAAAUUGACCGCCUGGGGAGUACGGUCGCAAGAUUA